GAGUGGUGUGGAUUCAGGCAGCCUCGUUCAGUCUUAUUCGACUCAGCAACAUCAAAAAUUGAAACAGAAUGAAAAUUAUUCUUCUCCUUGGAGUCUCCAGUCUGUUCCUCUUCACCGUUGCCCAAGAACUCCUCUGUAAUAAUUGCCAAUCUGCAUAUAUUGAGAACUGUCGUACCAUGAACACAUGCAUAUCCAAGAUGGGGAGAUGUUUCAAAAGAACAAUCUACAAAGCUCCUGCAGGUAAAAACCUUAUUGAAGUGACUAAUGGAUGUGUCACUAAGUAUAAUGACCAUGAAUGUAACACACUUUACAUGAUUCCUAAGAUCAAUCAGAUUCAGAUUUUCACUUGUUGCCACACUGCGAGAUGCAAUGGACGAGACCCUUCUCCUUUCCCUCCUGCUAACUGUACCCGGCCUUCCAGAGGGGUUUGAGAUGGCAGAAGAUACUGAAGUUCUGGGCUUCUUUCAUACUCUUUGAGCAGGCAUGUGAUUUAGGAGGCUG